GCUGGGUGCAGUGGUGUACACCUGUAAUCCCCACAACUCGGGAGGCUGAAGCAGGGGGACCACAGGUUCAAAGCCAGCCUCAGCAACUUAGCAAGGCCCUAAUAAAUUUAGCAAGACCCUGUCUCAA
rnacentral:sRNA from 1 species